rnacentral:tRNA from 1 species
CAAGGAAGUGUGCCCGAACGCCAAGGGGGCACUUUGAUAGAGUACACCACAGGGGUUAAAGUCCCCUCACUUCC